UCUUUUCUCAACUUUCCCGAAAUUUACUUACUUUUUAGUUUUCUAUUCCAAGAAAGUCAUGCCCUUUGCAAACUCCUCACCAGUUCGCAAUGCCCCAAACCUAAAUCCCAGACCUUCCUGCGAGUUCUCCUCCGCAAGUUCUUCUUCCCGUCUAAUCACCCAGUUCUCUUGCAAAAAUCUCAACUCUUCCCCGCCCAAGUUCUUCUCUUGGGCUAUCGGAUUUCGCGACAGGGGUUGUGUGUUCAAUCGAGGACGAAUAGAGCAUCUCAGAUUGUGAUUUCUAAUCAUAAAUUCAGAUGCGACGGAGUUUCUAAACUUGGUGGAUGACUCGGUUCAAGCAUAUCAAAGUCUUAUGCACGAUUUUGAUGAGUUUCUGAAGAACUAUGACAAGUAGCUCUAGACUCAAAUCGAUGCCCAGCCACCAUUCCCUCAAACUUUAGCGAGAAACCCCAACAAGCGUCGUCAUCUCCACCCCUCUCUAUUGUCUCGCGCUGGUGAAAUUGGUAGAGUUGUUCAAGCGGUGCCGAUUGGAAGUACCAUAAGUAUUUUCUUGAGUUUGCUGCAAAAACAGGGGUUUAAAUGCUAAGAACAUAUUCUCUAGGUAUGUUAUUAAGCUUGAUACACUCAAUCCAUAUAUAAAGUUAAAAUUGAGGUAAUAUAUUCGGUUCCCAUCUCCAUCAUUAUUACAAUCUAUUCCACUUUAAAUUCUCUCUGCGCCUCAGUAGAAUAUGAUAGGUCAAGUAUUAUCUUGCAAUUGGAGUUUUUCUUUGUUACCAUCAGCAUGGGUCCAAUGUUUGGUUUAUUAGCUAGAUACGUACUCCUCUAAUUUCCUUGCUGGUUGCUUUGGAAGAUGAUAAAAAACUUUUCAAUUAUUUUGAUAUGUGUUGUUUAGUCAUCCAUGUUCAGGAAGACAUACACUACAGGGGCAGGCAAUGGGAUCCUCCAUAUGCUCUUUGCUCUCCAGGAAUUUCAGAAACUCUCUGAACCUUAUGUCCAUAUGAGGUACAAACGCUUGAAUAUGUGACUCAAAGAUCAUCAAAGAAAAAAUUCCUUGCAAAAGGCCAUUUUUCUUGUAGUGUAAAGGAAUUUGAUGGGGUAUAUGGACCAGCAUGGCACUGCAUUGUAGGAACAAAUUUUGGGUCUUUUGUGACACACUCAUGUUUAAUGCAGCAGGAAAAAGCUGAAAACUUGAUCCUUUGUAACUAUGUAAAAGACAUUUACUUGGUUGGUUGAAGUUGUGGGGCUUGGUAAAUGUCUGAUUCAGAAAUCCUUUCUGCUAGUUCUAUAUGGUAAGGAUGUUGCGAAACUUGAUCUGCAGAACUGCAAGAACCGGAAUCGUUUUCUUAAGAUACACUACGAUAGGAUUGGGAAAGAUGGAUUCUUUAGCCAUAAAGAGAUUAUUGUCAUAUUCGUCCCAGAUUUGUUUGAGUGUCUUCCUUCAUUGGAUACUGGAUGAGCUUGUUGGCAGCUUUACCUUCAACCCUUUGCUGCAGUGGUGUGACAGAUUUGAUUUUGUACUCAUCUUAUCGAGUUAAGUGUAAGAGAUAUAUGUAGUGGCAUCUGUUGGGGAUGAAAAUUUUAUGAAGUGUUUCUUUUACAUUCAGCUUCUUAUAUAUAUGACAUGAGGGCAAUAUGAAUAUGACAU